rnacentral:rRNA from 1 species
CCUACGGGUGGCCGCAGUGGGGAAUAUUGGACAAUGGGGGGAACCCUGAUCCAGCCAUGCCGGGUGUGUGAAGAAGGCCCUCGGGUUGUAAAGCACUUUCAGUGAGGAAGAACGCCUGGUGGUUAAUACCCAUCAGGAAAGACAUCACUCACAGAAGAAGCACCGGCUAACUCCGUGCCAGCAGCCGCGGUAAUACGGAGGGUGCGAGCGUUAAUCGGAAUUACUGGGCGUAAAGCGCGCGUAGGUGGCUUGAUAAGCCGGUUGUGAAAGCCCCGGGCUCAACCUGGGAACGGCAUCCGGAACUGUCAAGCUAGAGUGCAGGAGAGGAAGGUAGAAUUCCCGGUGUAGCGGUGAAAUGCGUAGAGAUCGGGAGGAAUACCAGUGGCGAAGGCGGCCUUCUGGACUGACACUGACACUGAGGUGCGAAAGCGUGGGUAGCAAACAGGAUUAGAUACCCCUGUAGUC